rnacentral:rRNA from 1 species
GUAAGGAAUAUUGGACAAUGGACGCAAGUCUGAUCCAGCCAUGCCGCGUGAAGGAUUAAGGUCCUCUGGAUUGUAAACUUCUUUUAUAAGGGACGAAAAAAGGCUUUUCUAAGUCGUCUGACGGUACCUUAUGAAUAAGCACCGGCUAACUCCGUGCCAGCAGCCGCGGUAAUACGGAGGGUGCAAGCGUUAUCCGGAUUCACUGGGUUUAAAGGGUGCGUAGGCGGGCAGGUAAGUCAGUGGUGAAAUCCUAGAGCUUAACUCUAGAACUGCCAUUGAUAGUAUCUGUCUUGAAUAUUGUGGAGGUAAGCGGAAUAUGUCAUGUAGCGGUGAAAUGCUUAGAUAUGACAUAGAACACCUAUUGCGAAGGCAGCUUACUACGCAUAUAUUGACGCUGAGGCACGAAAGCGUGGGGAUCAAACAGGAUUAGAAACCCUUGUAGUCC